CCUUUUAGGGCAGCUAUGUCUUUUUUUUUUUUUUUUUUUUUUUUUUUUUUUGUGUCUUCCACUUCAAAGUAAAAAAUCUGUAAACUACUAGGAGUGGAAAACAUGACAUUCAGCCCAUAGGUGAAGGCUCUGAUUAAUGUCAUAGGUGGGAUGUGUGAACAAGAAAUUGUGUUAUUCUGUGCAUAAACAUCACUUUAUUUUCUAAAGUGGUAAUUUCAAGUGCCUCUUUUUGCAUCCUGUUUGGGUGCUCUUUCCCCUCCCACGUGCCAUCUGCUCUGUCCACCAGCACCACACGUUGAUUAGCACCCCUGGAUGUGGGACACUGUUACAGAACCAGAAAGAAACCCAAGACAGUCCCUUCCUUGAGGAACAAUCACCGUCCAAAGCCAGCAAGCUCUCAUCGUCCUGCAUAGUAAGAGUCUUCAGAACGUGGAAAGGAACUUCAGUGGCUUUUGCUGGGUUGGGCUGAAGGAAACCCCGGUGAAACCCACACCUGUAAAGAUGCUUCUCACAGUGGGACUUUUAUCGCUUGGGUCCUGGUCACAAUCAAUUUUUCUGCAAAUAAUUGGCUUUGCUUUUCUUGUGGUGAGUCUCUAAGGACAGUGAGUUCCGUUCUGGGGACUGUGAGUUCUAUGCUGUGUACAUGUGUGCUUUGGAGGGUGACUGGAAGCACCAUCGUUCCUUCCCAUACUUUCAGGCUCAGUUACCGCUUCAGUCUGGACUGUUGUGAACGAGAAUAUGGAAGUCAUUUUCCCCACAUUGUUUACCCAGCUUGCCUGGGAAACACCAACUGGAGGAUUAGAGUCCGGCUCUUCAGUUUGAACUCACUUUCCCUUUCUCUUCCUGGGACCACCCAGUGAUUCAGAGCCCUGCAUUCUGUAAUGAGAUUAAUGUCAACAGUUUCCUGCAUUGAAGAUUAUUUUCCCAAAGAGUUCACGAUUUCCUUCAGGACUUCUCCAUCACCCCAGUGUCUGGCUACCUAAUGACUGAUUAACAGGUUGAUUUUCUAGAAAACUCAAAUUACAAUUUCUUUUUUUUAAAAAAGGGCAAUCCAGCCUUUUCUCUGAUUAUCCGUCCUCCCCAUCUCCCACUUGUCCUAUGUUUUAGCCACACAGGCUGUUGUCAUCCCCUAAAAGUGUGCUUCUGAGUCUCCAGGCCUUUGAUAAAUUGUUCCCUCCUCCUGAAAUGCCAUUCACGCCAUCUGCCUUUUGGAAUUCUGCCCUUCCCUCGGAAUCUAGCCCAAGUCCUAUCUCCUCUAAGAAGGGACUUUUCUAGAUUGAAUUAAAUUUCCUUCCCUGGCCCUGCAUAGUGGCCGCACCCAGUAGACUGUGAGUCUACUUUUUUCAUCUUUUAUUCUUACAAGUGCCUGGCCUCAUAUUUUGCACACAGUAGGCAUUUGCUAUACUUUAAUUACUAGUAAAAUUGAGUGAUAAAAUAAAACAUUUAAAUCUCA
rnacentral:lncRNA from 1 species